rnacentral:lncRNA from 1 species
GGAGGACUAUUCUUUUUUUUCAAUUGCGUUGACCCAGCUGCAUAGAUUAUUUGAAUUAUGCCUACUAUGAUCAACCAGGGUUCAAAGAUAGAAUGGGCGUGGGGUAAUAAUUCCAUAUUGAUCCGAACCAAUCCAUAUGCUCCCAUUUUGAAUAAGAUUCCGGCUAGAAGCAUACAAGUACUGUAAUGUGCCUCUCCGUGGGUAUCUGGUAACCAUGUAUGUAAGGGUAUAAUCGGUGAUUUGACAGCAAAAGCAAUAAGAAAUCCGAUAUAGAAUAGUAUUUCCAGUGCUAUAGGAUACGAUUGAUUAGCUGAUGUUUCAAAAUUGAAAGUUGGUUCAUUAGAACCAUAUAAACCGAUACCCAGAACUCCCAUUAACAAAAAAAUGGAACCUCCCGCAGUGUACAAAAUCAACUUUGUAGCUGAAUACAACCGUUUCUUUCCGCCCCACAUCGAUAGAAGUAGAUAAACGGGAAUUAAUUCUAACUCCCACAUGAGAAAAAAUAGUAAGAGGUCUCGAGCAGAAAAUGAUCCUAUUUGACCGCUAUACAUUGCUAACAUUAGAAUAUACAUUGCUAACAUUAGAAAAUGGAAUAAUCGGGAAUCUCGAGUAACUGGCCAAGCCGCUAAAGUAGCUAAAGUGGUGAUAAACCCCGUCAGUAAAAUGGGUCCUAUGGAAAGUCCAUCGAUUCCCAAUCUCCAGUAAAAAUCCAAAAAAGGGAUCCUCUGGAUUAAUGGAUCGUCUAAUUCUCAAUGAUAACAAAACGCAUAGGUUCUUAGAAGCAGCUCGAGUACACAGAUACAUAUAGUAUACCAUCUCAUGACUUUAUUUCCUCUAUGAGGGAAAAAGAAAAGUAAUAAACCCGCAAAUAUUGGAAAAACUACAACUAGAAAAUAAUUCGUAGUAAAAACAAGAAUGAAAGAAAAAAAAUAUAUAUAUGGGUCAAAAAGAAAGAAAAUGUAUUCAAGGGGGCUUUUAGAGAACGUAUCAAUAAGCUAGACCCAUGCUUCGAGUUCUUUCAUGCCAUAAAUAAAGGCGAACACUCAAGAAAUCCGUCGGACAGGCAGAUUCACAUCUCUUACAACCAACACAGUCUUCCGUUCGUGGAGCCGAAGCUAUUUGCUUAGCUUUACAUCCGCCCCAAGGUCUCAUUUCUAAUACAUCUGUGGGGCAAGCUCGGACACAUUGAGUACACCCUAUACAUGUAUCAUAAAUCUUUACUGAAUGUGACAUUGGAUCUAUCAUUUUUUUUGAAGACGAUAAACGAGUCAAUUUGUAAAUGAAUUAUAUAUUUAGAUACCAGAUGACUCAGAAUUUUGAUAAUAAAUCUACUUUCAGAUUAACUCAUGCGAUAG